rnacentral:rRNA from 1 species
CCUACGGGAGGCUGCAGUGAGGAAUAUUGGUCAAUGGACGCAAGUCUGAACCAGCCAUGCCGCGUGCAGGAAGACGGCUCUAUGAGUUGUAAACUGCUUUUGUACGAGGGUAAACGCAGAUACGUGUAUAUGUCUGAAAGUAUCGUACGAAUAAGGAUCGGCUAACUCCGUGCCAGCAGCCGCGGUAAUACGGAGGAUUCAAGCGUUAUCCGGAUUUAUUGGGUUUAAAGGGUGCGUAGGCGGUCGGAUAAGUUAGAGGUGAAAUCCCGAGGCUCAACUUCGGAAGUGCGUCUGAUACUGUUCGGCUAGAGAGUAGUUGCGGUAGGCGGAAUGUAUGGUGUAGCGGUGAAAUGCUUAGAGAUCAUACAGAACAUCGAUUGCGAAGGCAGCUUACCAAGCUACUUCUGACGCUGAGGCACGAAGGCCAGGGGAGCGAAAGGGAUUAGAUACCCCAGUAGUC